rnacentral:rRNA from 1 species
GGAUUAGAUACCCUGGUAGUCCACGCUGUAAACGAUGAGUGCUAGGUAUUUGGUUGUAAAAUUAAGUGCCGUAGCUAACGCGUUAAGCACUCCGCCUGGGUAGUACGGUCGCAAGAUUAAAACUCAAAGGAAUUGACGGGGACCCGCACAAGCGGUGGAACAUGUGGUUUAAUUCGAUGCUACGCGAAAAACCUUACCAGGCCUUGCAUACUAAUAGUACGACAUAGAGAUAUGUUGGUCAGUUCGGCUGGAUUAGUACAGGUGUUGCAUGGCUGUCGUCAGCUCGUGCCG